rnacentral:rRNA from 1 species
UCAGGCCUAACACAUGCAAGUCGAACGGUAACAUUUCUAGCUUGCUAGAAGAUGACGAGUGGCGGACGGGUGAGUAAUGCUUGGGAACUUGCCUUUGCGAGGGGGAUAACAGUUGGAAACGACUGCUAAUACCGCAUAAUGUCUACGGACCAAACGGGGCUUCGGCUCCGGCGCAAAGAGAGGCCCAAGUGAGAUUAGCUAGUUGGUAAGGUAACGGCUUACCAAGGCGACGAUCUCUAGCUGUUCUGAGAGGAAGAUCAGCCACACUGGGACUGAGACACGGCCCAGACUCCUACGGGAGGCAGCAGUGGGGAAUAUUGCACAAUGGGGGAAACCCUGAUGCAGCCAUGCCGCGUGUGUGAAGAAGGCCUUCGGGUUGUAAAGCACUUUCAGUUGUGAGGAAAAGUUAGUAGUUAAUACCUGCUAGCCGUGACGUUAACAACAGAAGAAGCACCGGCUAACUCCGUGCCAGCAGCCGCGGUAAUACGGAGGGUGCGAGCGUUAAUCGGAAUUACUGGGCGUAAAGCGCACGCAGGCGGUUUGUUAAGCUAGAUGUGAAAGCCCCGGGCUCAACCUGGGAUGGUCAUUUAGAACUGGCAGACUAGAGUCUUGGAGAGGGGAGUGGAAUUCCAGGUGUAGCGGUGAAAUGCGUAGAUAUCUGGGGGAACAUCAGUGGCGAAGGCGACUCCCUGGCCAUAGA